GCAUUAAUGGGGUAGUGGUAACCUGGGUCGUUCAUCUUCAACAUUCGAAUCAGAGUCCUGUAUAUGUCGACCUGCCGGGGGUUCGACUCCCUCUUAAUGCA